rnacentral:rRNA from 1 species
UGAGGAACCCACCCUGGAGACCGGGAUAACCCUCCGAAAGGAGAGCUAAUACCGGAUGUCCUCCUCGGAUCGCAUGAUCUGAUGAGGAAAUGGAUUCCGCUCCAGGACGGCCUCGCGGCCUAUCAGCUAGUUGGUGAGGUAACGGCUCAUCAAGGCGACGACGGGUAGCUGGU